GGUGGAGGAUUUGUCUGCUAGGCAAGUAUAUGAGAAACUUCUGGAGGCUGUAACUUUGAGGUUGUACAAUUUACAUGUCAAUUGUAAUGAAAGAUAAGAUCCAUUCAACUUGUACGUUUACCCCGGACAUCCUGGACUUCAAAUUAUUCUUCUGUUAGUUGUGAUUGUUGUAAUGCAAUGUUGCAAUGUCAAAAAUUCAAUUGCACAACCUGAGUCUAUUUGAUGAUAAUUCCAGUUAAUUCUGUCUGUAGUCUUGCCUUUGCUAUUAAUCAAGAAUUGGUCAAUUGGAG
rnacentral:lncRNA from 1 species